rnacentral:lncRNA from 1 species
GUUCUCACAAGAUCUGAUGGUUUUAUAAGGGGCUUUCCCCCUUUUGCUCAUUCUUCUCCUUGCUGCUGCCAUGUGAAGAAGAAUGUGUUUGCUUCCUCUUCCACCAUGAUUGAAAGUUUCCUGAGACCUCCCCAGCCUUGUGGAACUAUGGAGUCUCUCUGCGCCGAGUUUGGAGUUCAGUGGCAUGAUCUCGGCUCACUGCAACCUCCGCUUCCUGGGUUCAAGCAAUUCUCCUGCCUCAGCCUCCCGAGUAGGUGAGAUUACAGGUGCUCGCCACCAGGCCCAGCUAAUUUUUGAAUUUUUAGUAGAGACAAGGUUUCGCCCUGUUGGCCAAGCUGGUCUCAAACUCCUUACCUCAAGUGAUCCACCUGCCUCCGCCUCCCAAAGUUCUGGGAUUACAGGCGUGAGCCACCGCUCCCGGCCUCUCUACCUUCUUUGUCCCACAGGAAAAAGGAAUAUGCUUCUUUGGGAAGGACAUGAACUAGGGCGACAGCAAAAGGAAAGCGAAUGUGGGGCUGUUUUGGAGUCCCAUACACUCUCAGCGGCAGAGCAAUAUUAAAACUUCCUAGAAGACAUCUGAGCAGCAAUUCUAAUAAUCAUGUAUUAUGUAUCUGCAAUAAAUAAACCAUGAACCAACUAGCAAAUUGCCUUGCUUGUUUCUCAGCAGAAGUUAUUUUCCAUACAGCUUUUCAUCUAGUGACCACCAUUGUUUAGACUUGGAUGUUUGACUGCAGUUUUGUGCAUGUGGCAGCGCAUGACAAUGUUUGCAGUGUUGUUUAGAGUCACACAAACUUACAAGUCAGUGGGGGGAUGGGUUCAAGUAUAGCUUAUUAAUUCAAUUCAUUCAGCAAAUAUUUACUGAGAGUCUACUAUGUGAUAAGCACUUUUCUUUCUUUUUUUUGGAGACAGUCUCACUCUGUUGCCCAUGCUGGAGUGCAGUGGUGUGAUCUUGGCUUACUGCAACCUCUGCUUCCCAGGUUCAAGCGAUUCUCCUGCCUCAGCCUCCUGAGGAGAGUAGCUGGGACUCCAGGCACGUGCCACCAUGCCUGGCUAAUUUUUAUAUUUGUAGUAGAGACGGGGUUUCACCAUGUUGGCCAGGCUGCUCUCGAACUCCUGACCUCAAAUGAUCUACCCACCUCACCCUCCCAAAGUGCUGGGAUUACAGGCCUGAGCCACCGUGCCCAGACGAUAAGCACUUUUCUAAGCAUAUGGGAUAUCUCACUGAAAAAACUCAACACAAAUCCCUCCCCCUUGAAGCUUCCAUGCUCAUUGCAGGAAACAGAAAAUCACCCAUAAAUGUGAGCAAAGUAAGGAAAAUUGAAAGUAUAAAGUGUUUCUUUUGUAAUUUCAAAUGAAAUCAUAUCCAUAAUGUAUGCUAUUAUACAGCUUUUUAUAAAAUGAGACAAAUCAUAUAGUGCAAAAGAUCUCAAAGACAAAGGAAAAGGAAAAAAAAAGAAGUUGCAGAACCAUAUAAACUCAUUUGAAUAUGGCUGUGUGUGUGUGUGUGUGUGUGUGUGUGUGUGUGUGUGUAUCUGAAAAGAUACAUAGCAAACAAUGUUUCUCCAAAUCUCCCACUUACUUACCAUAUACCCACUACCACAAGCUGCAGCAGACAUACUGAAUAUCUCACUUU